UCUGUUCCAAUAUUUGGACUUUGACCUCAGUUCCUGACACAGAUCUCCUAAAUCCUUGGCAAUUUCCUGGAUGAUAGGAUCAUCUUUUGUUCUAAUGAAGCAACUCUUGGUGGGCUCACAGAGAGUCUCAAGACAGGAGCUGGUUGCCAAGGAAACCAACCAUGCAAUAAGAGGAUUAGAAUAUUCAGCCCCACCCCAUGACUUCCAGAGACAGAGGAAAGGCUGAAGGUUGAGUUGAUUACCAGUAGCUCACGAUAUAAUCAUUCAUGCCUACAUAACACAGCUUUCAUAAGAACCCAAUAGGACAGGGUUCAAGGACCCUCUAAAGAAUGCCACACCUAUAGAGGCAUGGAAACUCUUUGCCACUUUCAUCUGACUAUUGAUCUAUAUCCUUUGUAAUGCCUCUUAUAAGAAAUGGGCAGAUUCUAGCAGUGUUUGUGAGAAAAACUGAUGGAUCCUGCAGAUUAACUAUGGACAGCCAAAUAUUGAGUAAAGUGAUGUCUACAACAGCAUCAGCUAUGCCUGAUAUGGUGUUAAUUCACAUUGUGAAGUCCUCAAUAGGAAAAAGAUGCCUCCCUGGUCGACCUUCCUGGAAAGUAUGCAUAUCAUUACUGCUUAGAUUUUGUUGGAGAGAAAUCACACUACCAUCAAAGACAACGGGUCAAAAAGAAUGCCGUCCUAAGCUGAGAAGCCAUCUUCCUAACGACAGCCAUGUAAUAUGAAAGGGAAAAACACACUGUUAUUGAAGAACUUAUCAGCUAUGUCACAUCUUCCACACAAAUACUCAGGAAAGUUAAAAGAAAAUUUUACCUCGGACACAGUUGAUGAUUGCUAAAGUCCUAUUGCAUGCUUUAAGAUGCCUUGCGUUUGGUGAAUUGAAGCCUGAUAUGUCAACAUACUCUCUGUAAACACAGCAGCACAGAGGGCAAAGAAACACUUAUCCAGCACCACAGCUAGGACAAAAGGAAUUAUUUUGACAGUAAAUGGACUUGCAGCUUAAGGUUGGUAUGUACCCAAUUGUGACUAAACCAAAAGAAACAAAUCUGGAAACUGAAGUAUCAAUACGUGAAAAGCGUUCUUUUGGUAUUGGGAGUGCCAGUUGUCUUUGUUUCAUGAACUACUUCUCCGUAAUAGCAUGCAGCCAUCUUCAAGAGGUGAGAAUUUCACUUAGCGACUUAAACAGAAGUGUUAUCUCAAGAUAAUAUAAUAUCUGGAGGUAAAACAGCAUCCCCAGGAUAAACAGGAUUACUCAAAGUUAUUGAGAAGAAAUACAGGUUCUGGUGGACAAUUUCCAGUCUGGAGUCUGCAUUUGGAGAGAUUCUACAGCACAUGCAUGAAUGAGGAGGAGGUGGUGUCCCAAGGGCAUUUAUAUCUUUGCUCUGUAUUUGGAGGAGAAUGGAGAGUUCCAAAUGAUCAGAGCUUGCACAUUACUAGAUCCCCUUUCUAGGGAAAAUGCUGCGAUCAAUUGAAGUUGUCAUCCUCAUGAAGCUCAUACUGUUUUGCCUGAAAAAUAAAUGUAAAUGCACAUUCUUGGUCUUAAAAUACAUAGAAACAAUACUUUUUUCCCUGCUACUAGCUUUGUAAGAUAAAUAGGGUUCAUGUUUAACAUAUAUACUCAAUACUUGGGCAAUUUGUCUUCAUCUAAUGAAUUAUUAUUUACCAUUUUUAAAUUAUCUGCUCAGAUUACAAGAUUCUUUUUAACAAUAACCAAAUUUUAAUUAGUAAAACUUUUGGUCACUUUAUAUUUUCUGAUGUGCAUAUUACAAUAAAAU
rnacentral:lncRNA from 1 species